ensembl:lincRNA
GUUUGACUCCAAGACCUUGGAACCACGGUGGAAGGGGUCUUUUCCAGUUGUCCUGUCUACUCUGGCUGUGAAGGUUGCGGGACACCCGACAUGGAUCCAUCGCAACCACCUCAAGCCCGGACUGGACAACAGCCCAGAGGUGCACAGAAAAUGGAGCGUUGUCAGCAAACCCAGAGAAUUGAAAGUAAAACUCCACUCAACUGGACCUGCAUUAUGAUCUGGGUGAUUUCCCUUGGGAAAAUAAUAGCGUUGUCCAAAGAGAACUUAGGUCAUACUAAAAAUGUUUGGGUACAAUUAGCUGAAUCCCUAAAUUUGUCUGAAAUAUGUUUAAAUGCUGAUGUGAAUUUUCAUUAUGUGCUUGGAAGUUGUUUGGUUCCAGUAUGCAGACCACUUAAAAGUAUUAGACCAUAUACUAUGUUUAAAAAUUUCCCACAAGUAAAUCUCAGUUAUUUGGAUAGUUACAAUUGGGGACAGGUGACAUGUUACAAACCAAAGAAUGCUAUUAAGCUAUAUACCCCUCGAGUAGCUAUGUCCAAUAAGACUCUCUGUGCCAAAUAUAAAGGUUGUGAGAGGGUUAAAAAUAUGUGCUGCUUCAAUUUAACAAAUAAUGGGCCAGCUAUAGAACAAGACAUAGAAAAGCUCAAAGAUUUAGCUACAAAGAUUCAUAAUGAACAGAUAGGAUGGGAUUUAUUUAAACGGUUAACAAGUUAGUUACCUGAUAUUACCUAGGUAAAACAACUGAUACUCUGUGUAAUGGUAUUAGGAUUUUGUAUUGCAAUAACUUGUUGUCUUUUACAAUGUGUUCCUUUAUUAAGGCCCAGGGUCAGAUAUAAGUAAAUCAAAGAUUUGAUUUAGGUCCAAAAAUCAGUGGGGAAUGUAAGAGCCUGACUGAACCAGAGCAACUCCAUGUUGACCAGCAAACGACCUAGAGACUGUCGCUCCCCCACAUCCCCUACAGGAUAACUAAUGAUUAAUUGUGAAUUGUUAGGUAACUGCUUUGAAGUAGCUGGGAAACUAAAUGGAAACUAUAGUGAACACAGAGAUCCAACAUGAAUCACGCCACUCCUUACUUGCCUGUAGUUGAAUGUUCUGAACAUUAUAAUCUAAGUUAAAAAUGGAAUACUGGAUAAUCGAUCUGCUGAACAUUAGUACGUGACGGUCAAGUAUAUGCUUGAUGACCACUAGCUCAGAUCAACUGAUUCUUUGCCUUUGUCCUCUUCCUGUAAGUUUUAAGUGUAAACCCCCCCUCCUCAGCCCUAUAUAAAAUGGCCUCUGUUUCUGAGUUAGCCGCCUCUCUGAGCUACUUGGCUUGGGGAGUGCCGUCUGGCCAGACUAAUAAAGGUCUAUUUGCCAACUUGCCUGGUGUGUUCCUUCCUGGGUGACUCUCGCUGUCUGACAAGCUCCUGGAGCCUCGCUGAGCUUCUGAGCCCAGCAUCGUGGAAGCCUCUUGGCUGUUCACGCUCCAGGAGUAAAAGUGAGACUUAAAUCUUACAGGUUGUUUUCUGAGGUAAAAGAGAUAAAGCUAAGGAGACACUGAAAUUUUAAAAAUUGUACUUUAAAAACUGCAGCC